rnacentral:rRNA from 1 species
GUGGGGAAUAUUGGACAAUGGGCGCAAGCCUGAUCCAGCCAUGCCGCGUGAGUGAUGAAGGCCUUAGGGUUGUAAAGCUCUUUCAGUGGGGACGAUAAUGACGGUACCCACAGAAGAAGCCCCGGCUAACUUCGUGCCAGCAGCCGCGGUAAUACGAAGGGGGCUAGCGUUGUUCGGAAUUACUGGGCGUAAAGCGCACGUAGGCGGAUUGACAAGUCAGGGGUGAAAUCCCGGGGCUCAACCUCGGAACUGCCUUUGAUACUGUCAGUCUAGAGUCCGGAAGAGGUGGGUGGAAUUCCUAGUGUAGAGGUGAAAUUCGCAGAUAUUAGGAAGAACACCGGUGGCGAAGGCGGCCCACUGGUCCGGAACUGACGCUGAGGUGCGAAAGCGUGGGGAGCAAACAGGAUUAGAAACCCCAGUAGUCC